GGCCUUAUAGUGUAGUGGUAACACAUCCUCUAUUAAUACUGGAGCCUUUCUGGUUGGAGGAAGUCCCAUGUUCGAAUCAAGGUGAGGUUA